GUUGGUGGAGUGAUUUGUCUGGUUAAUUCCGUUAACGAACGAGACCUCAGCCUGCUAAAUAGUUACGUCAAGGUUUACUUGGCGGCGAACUUCUUAGAGGGACUAUUGACAUGAAGUCAAUGGAAGUUUGAGGCAAUAACAGGU
rnacentral:rRNA from 1 species